CCCCUGCGCUUGGGCGCGGCCGGGGUGGAGGGGGGCGCGGCGGGAGCCGGGGCUGGCGGGGUCCACACGGGCUCUGCCUGGGGGCUCACGCUGGCCGGGGGAGGAGGGGGAGGCCGGGCCGGAGGCUCGUCGUCCUCAGGGAGCUUGGAGGGCGAGACUGCGGCAGCAGACAGCGGGGAUGGCGCGGGCACGGUCGACGACACCGGGCUCGGGUCCCAAGACGGCUGCCGCUCCGGGGCGACGGGGGGAGCGGCCGGCAGGGGUCCCCGGGGCGCCGGCGGCACGAAGUCAUUUCCGAAGUCCAUCAGGGGCGCGCCGGCGGCAGGGGCGGUGGGCACUGGGGCCGCGGACAGCCCGGCGGCGGGCUUCCUCUCCAGCACCUCCAGCUCCUCCAGGUCUUCGUCCUCGUCCUCCUCUUCCUCCUCCUCUUCUUCCUCCUCGUCUUCCAU
rnacentral:lncRNA from 1 species